GCAUCAGUGGUUUGGUGGUAAAAUUCUUGCCUUCCAUGCAGGAAACCCAGGUUCAAUUCCUGGGCAAUGCA
rnacentral:tRNA from 1 species